CUGUGGUAAUUCUAGAGCUAAUACAUGCGCUAAAGCUCUGACCUAGCGGAAAGAGUGCAUUUAUUAGAGCAAAACCAAGCGGCUUCGGUCGUGUUUUGCUGACUCAGAAUAACUUAGCUGAUCGCACGGUCUAUGAACCGGCGACGUGUCAUACGAGUAUCUGCCUUAUCAAUUGUCGAUGGUAGUGUAUUGGACUACCAUGGUGUUGACGGGUAACGGAGAAUUAGGGUUCGACUCCGGAGAAGGGGCCUGAGAAAUGGCCACUACGUCUAAGGAUGGCAGCAGGCGCGCAAAUUACCCACUCUCGGAAAGAGGAGGUAGUGACGAGAAAUAACGAGACCGUUCUCUUAAUGAGGCCGGUUAUCGGAAUGGGUACAAUUUAAACCCUUUAACGAGUAUCUAUGAGAGGGCAAGUCUGGUGCCAGCAGCCGCGGUAAUUCCAGCUCUCAAAAUGCAUAGAACCAUUGCUGCGGUUAAAAAGCUCGUAGUUGAAUUUAUGCCAGAGACUUGGUCCGCUCAUAGAGUGUGUACUAGGUUCUUUGGCUUUUCGUCGGUUUUCUUGUUGUUUGCCUUUAUUGGCAGCUGCAAGUGGCUGACAAUUUUACUUUGAACAAAUCAAAGUGCUCAAAACAGGCGUUUUGCUUGUAUGUUUUUGCAUGGAAUAAUAGAAUAAGACUUCGGUCUAGUUUUAUUGGUUUUAUAGAUCGUUGUAAUGAUUAAAAGAGACGAACGGGGGCAUUCGUAUUGUUGCGUGAGAGGUGAAAUUCUUGGACCGCAGCAAGACGUCCUACAGCGAAAGCAUUUGCCAAGCU
rnacentral:rRNA from 1 species